CUACUCCCCUGCCGGACACCUUGCAGCCAUUCAUCCAAGUACCCACUCUCUUGCGGGCGCCCCAUUCCCCGCCGCUCACCCAGCCGCGUAGUGCGCUCCCUCGGCGCCGUGGGCCUGUCCCCAGUGCCAUGCUCGGCCUCCAGCUCCUCCUGCUGCUGCCUCGCUUGCUGCAAAAUCCGUCGGGUCAGUCGGGGCCCCACAUACUCUUCCUCUUCUCCGGCUCCACGGCCCCGCCGCUUUUCCCGGGCUCCGGCCCGCACCGCGUCCCCAGAUAGGAUCUGCUCGGCCAGAGGCGCAAGUUUUCCUUGACCCCCGGCCCCCCGGGCCGCCUUGAAUUUGGGCAUUUUUCUCGAAAAAAGGUACCGCGAAGGUUCACACGUGGGGCCCAAGGCGAGCAGCCGAGAGUGCGCUUGAGCACUUAACUCCAGGUCCUAAGAGGACGCGCGGAGAGGACAGCGCCCCCAAGGGGUCGGAGGACAGAAAUGGCCGUCAGCGACACCCCACACCUUAAAAGAGCUCACGGGCCCUAGGCAUGGAACAUCAAAUAAAUUCAUUGCAGUUAACGAUGGCUGCUCUAAAUGGUGGUAGUCCCAACCAUGCUUCCCAAGCAUCACGGAUCCUGGUCUAGGGUGCCCAGCCAAAUGGAAAUAUCCGAGUUGAAAGCCUGGGGAUAAUAGGCGGGUGGAUGACGUCACCGUAUACGUCAGCGAGAAGGCGCCCUGGCACGCCUCUAUAGCUGCCGGGGCGCGCCUAUGAGGCGCUUUGUUUUUACGUAACUUCCGGCGCUCUCCUCCUCGACCGAAGCUUUCUUUGGUGUCUUCACUUAACGUGGGCUGCCAGAGAGUGCUGUGUUUCCACUGUUUGAAUCUGCCACCUUCUUACCCGACACUAUGGGAGUGACUUGUGUGUCCCAGAUGCCUGUGGCUGAGGGCAAGAGUGUCCAGCAGACUGUGGAGCUCCUCACUCGGAAAUUGGAGAUGCUUGGAGCAGAGAAACAAGGAACAUUUUGUGUGGACUGCGAGACCUACCAUACAGCUGCUUCCACCCUUGGCAGCCAAGGUCAGGCUGGGAAGCUGAUGUAUGUGAUGCACAACUCAGAGUACCCUUUGAGCUGUUUUGCCCUCUUUGAGAAUGGACCUUGUCUUAUUGCUGAUGCCAACUUUGAUGUGCUCAUGGUGAAGCUCAAGGGCUUUUUCCAGAGUGCCAAGGCCAGCAAGAUUGAGACCCGGGGCACCCGUUACCAGUACUGUGACUUCCUAGUGAAGGUGGGCACAGUCACAAUGGGCCCCAGUGCCCGGGGCAUCUCUGUAGAGGUGGAGUAUGGCCCCUGUGUGGUAGCCAGUGACUGCUGGAGUCUGCUGCUAGAGUUCCUACAGAGUUUUUUAGGCACCCACACGCCAGGGGCCCCUGCAGUGUUUGGGAACAGACACGACGCAGUAUAUGGCCCAGCAGAUACCAUGGUCCAGUACAUGGAACUCUUCAAUAAGAUCCGCAAACAGCAGCAGGUGCCGGUGGCUGGGAUUCGUUAGUGACUGACAGCUUCUGUCACCAGGGAGACUCCACGGGAGAAGCAGAUUCUUUGGAUGGGAAGAGACCUUGAAAGGACCUCUAGUUUAUCCUGCAACUUCAGGCAGUAUCCCACUUAAAUCAUCCCAGAUUUACAGAAAAUUUGCAAAAAUGGUACAAGGAAUUUCCAUGUACCCCUACUCAAAUUCACCGGCUACUUUCAUUUUGCCCCAUUUGCUUUAUAAUUUUCUCUUACUUGAGUAUUUUUAAACAAGUAUAUUUGAAGAAAAUACCUACAGAGGCCUUAAGAAAAGAGAGGAAUGUUUUGAGUAUACCAGAAAUUUGGUAUGUGUUUGAUUUUAGUCAAACACUUGAAGCAAAAGAAUCUCAAGAUUGAAUUUACAGUGGACUUUGUAGUUCCUGGUCUGUUGUCUUCAGUACAUUCUGAAUAACAUUCUUUCACCUGUGAACCUCCGGUUUGUAGGCCCCUCUCUCUUAGAAAGGACUCUGUCAUCAUGAACCCCUCAGAUGGGAGCCUCUAGGAGUGGGUGCUCAGGCCAUGCUAGCUGUGGAUGAUGUAUGAGUGAUUAUGAAGGGAGAGAAACAGGAGUCACAGGGCCUUUCAACACCAUGACUAAGAAAUAUUUAGGUGAUCCUUACGUAGCUUCAAAGAGCUGGGAGGAUAAAAGUGCAAAAUGUACAUUGGUUGGGAUUAAUAUAAAUGAGUUUGCCUUCUAGUAAGGGGAUGAACAGAAGUACUUUAACAUUCCAUUACCUCUCCAAACAUUUAAGCCUAAAUUUUGGGAGUCGUUUCAGUUGUUGUCCUAUAAAGAUAUUAAACCGACUCCCUCUGCCAUCUUCCAGCUCAUCCCCAAUCUUUAUUAAAAUGAUAAGCCUGUUCAUUUGAUAAAGGUAUAACCUGCAGAAUAAGGCCUGUCUGGUUUAAGUGAAAGGAGUAUUAGCUGAGCUCUGACAAAUGUAAAAUAAAAUACAGCACUUGUGGGCUUCUUUUCCUUUUUAGCCUCUUUCUUUAAACGAUCAUCAAUGCUAUGAAAUAUAGCUCCUUAUUAAAGGUGAUUGUAAUAAUUAAAAUCACUUUGCUUUCAUAAGGAUGAGAAAAUUACAAAUUAUUUGGAAAGCAUUCUCUCCAGUCAUGUGUUAUUGUUUCUGAGACAUGGGCAGUUUUUAAAAACUAUAUAUAACACUGUUUCUUUGCCAUUUACAUGUUAAUAGAAGUCUGGAAAGUAAGGCACUCUUCUGAAAUUUUCAGGGCUGUUUUUAUUAUGUGUCAAGUUGUAAACAGCAUUCUGUGACAGGUAUUUUCUCUCUUUGUCUUCUAUUGAGCUAAUUAGUAAUUUACACUCUAGUGGCAUCUCUUCCAGCCUGCUACUCUGUGCCUUCUGUGCAGCCAGGGCUGGCAAAUGACUGGGAGCAGAUGUUGUGUACCACAUCAGAAGAAUCAGGGAUAAAAUUCAUUUUUGGGUUGUGAUUUUAUAAAUGGUCAGUCUUUUGUAUAUGCCCUCCCCGUCCCCCCCAUUC